UGGCGGAAACGGACCCCGCAGGGUUGGAGGACUUCUGAAGGAGCAAAGAUGGCGGCCUGAGGCGUGCCGCGGCGCGCCGGCCUUGGCGCCGGGGGGCCGGCUCCUGGCCGGUCCAGUGCUUCUGCUGGCUCCUGCGAGGAAGAACAUUUUCCUUGACUUUCAGGUGCUUUUAUAUUCAUCUCGAAAAGAAAGAAUUCUGAACUCAGGAUUUGGCAAGUAUUUCUGUAUUGUCUUCUGGAGUGGGGAGUCCUGCUUCUUCUGUCUACCCACUUCCCUAUCUUGAAAUGCGGAUAUCCCUCCUCUACAUUUUACCUCCAUGUUUUGGAUUGCAAAAGAUUGCUUUUCUUUUUCUUCCCACCUCUCAAAUUUAACACAGCGAAGCUCCUAGGAUGCAGUCAUCAUGCCAACUUCUCCAAGAAGAAAGAAGCAACUGACAUGUUUCUUCUGCCAAUUGCUUACUUGUAAAGAAAUUAUUUUGCAAGCUGGAGGGUGAUGUUUAAUUUGAAACUGGUGCUUAGAUGGUGGUAUUUGUGAAUUCUUUACCUUUUAUUCCCAGCAAGAAGACUAUAUAAAUAGCUAGUGUGGGUGUGACAUCAGGAUUUGUUUGGUUUUUUUAAUGUCUUCCCAUUUUAGCCACUAUCAUAAACACAGUCGAGACUGCAGCAGUAAAUUUCAGAUGUGUUGUAAUUUGAAAUGAAAGAGAUGCUAACAUAUAUAUAUAAAUCCUGGCUCAACCUGUGACAUAGAUGAACUGGAUAAGAACAAAGGUCCAGCUUUGCAGUGAAACCUUUGAUGUGAUAAGCACAAAAAACAGAAUAUCACAAAGUUAAUUUCAUAUAUGAAUAAGCCAUCACAGUUUCUGUAUAAAUAUAUAUAUUUUAACAUGUAAAUCCACUUUUUUUUUUUUUUUUUAAUGAGAAGAGGGAUUUUUCUUCCCAGAGAAGGAACCUAUUCUUUCUCAGAAGUCUUUGGACAUUUGGUAUUGUAAAAAAAAUUUUUUUUCUUUUAAGGAAGGACCAUAUUGUGCUAACCCAAUGAAUGCAUGCUUGGGUUUACCGAAGGUUGAUAAAGGAAACAAAAGCUUUGAGUCCAGUGUUGGAACUCUUCACCUCCUUGGGAUGAGAGGCUGCUGUAUUACAAAUUACUUCAUUCUCUUUUGUGGAGUUUUAUAUAGCACUUGGGACUUUUUCCCUAUUGCUUAGGCUGGAAGAAAGGUGACAUAAGUAGAUUUUCUGUUCAGAAGAUGUGAUGGACCCUCCAGUAUGACCUGCCUUCAACUUUGGACAUGGGGGAAUGGGCGGGGGGAGAGAGGAGGGAAUGAGAAAAUUUUCAUAUAACUCCCUUCUCCUAAGAAAAUGAAGCAAAAAAAGCCUUAUACAUCCACCUGGCUUUAUGGCGUUUUACAUUCAUAGCUCUAUUUUUUUGUAAAAGUAUAAAUAACUUUCCUUUGACCCAAGAUCAAUACUUGGAUGUUUGAUUGCUUUUUCUAGAUGAUAGCUGUAAUGUUAGGCAGAAAAGGCUGGGACUCAGGUAACUCCCCAUUUUCAUCAGAGAAUGGGCCUCAGAAGCAAUGUUCCCAAACAUUUUUUGAAUCAGUAUAAAUUUAGAAGAAAUUCAGGUCUAAAGAAAACCUCAAAAAAAAAAUAGUUCCAAUAAGAAAUAAGGAUCUUCCUUUCCCUUAAAACUUACACUUAUAUGGUGAAUAGACUAUAGUAGAAAGCUGUUCUUGCUUCAAGAUCAGCAGAGGACCAGUGUAUGAAUUGUCAGGUCUUUACAUGAGAAGAAUGAAACCAUUAUGGGUCUUUGUUAUUUGAGAAAGAAUUUAAAGCCUCUUAGGAACAAAUCAUCUUAGGUCAUGUCUGUUAUUUAGGGACUGCUUGCCCAGGGCCAUACAUGCUGUUAACACUGAAAACAGGCAGAUUUACCAAAUUUGAGAGUGAUAGGACUGGCCCAGAAUAGAAGUGUUGAGCACCCUUGAUAAUUAGUUUAAUUGGUCAACCAAUCUGAAUUGGCAUAAGAAAACUUUUGAGUAAAAAUUACAUAGAUAAAAUGUGAUUUUCCUUAAUUGAGGGCAAUUACUGAGUGGUAAAGCAUAGAAGUAACUGGAUAAAGGUAGUUUAAAUUUUUCUCUACGUAACUUCCCAGCCACUUCCUGAUUCCUAAUAUUUUGGAAUUAUUAAUGGCAGAAUGGAAUUUACAUAUUCCAUUUGGGUCCUGUUGGUAUAUUGAGAAUAUCAAAUGGAGAAUUUGUAUCUUCAGUUGUCUAUUAUCCAUCUUCCUGGUGUCCUUUUGGCAACUUUUUAGGUAGAACUACUUGGCUAGAAAUAAGGAACCCUGUACAAUCAGAACCAGUGAAAACAUCUCUGGCUCACUUGUUUGAAAUAUGUAUCAGACUCAACUUCCUUAGUUGCUUUAUGUUUUUUUCAUUUCAUAGCUAAGGAAACUACUGUUUAAUGUUCUUUCAAGUUGUUGCGCAUCUUGUCAGCAGAUGGCAUUUAACAAAACGCGUAUUUUCCAGUUGUACUUGCCCGGUGUUUAUUUAAUACAUCUACAUUGGUUUUUUCCUGGUUUGGUCCCCUUCUUGAUGGCAAAAGUUAGCAUUUUCGGCAGGACUCGAUAGCUGUGCCUGCUUCCUUUACUUUGUGCAUCCAUGUUAGCUGGCAAUUGUUUUUUGUGUUUUUGUUUUGUUUUUUUAAGUUUAAAACGGGAUAUGUGCAAUAGAAAUAUAUAUAUAUAUGUAUAUUUUAAUACUUGUGGACAAAUGUUACAAGUUGUUUCAGAACAACAAAAUCACCAAUGUCUUCCAUUUUGAGAUGUGUAUAGUUUUGUAAGCAUUAGUGCUUGGUAGCAUAUUGUAGUGCCAUGUUAGGGGUUAGUGCAUGAGCCUAGUAACAAUUUAAACUUCAGGAUGAAUUAUUAUAAUAACCAAUAGUGUAAAAAGUGGAAAAUUUAGAACUUUUCUUUCAUAAGUUUCUGUAUCCAUGAUAUUCUCCCUGGGGAGAGGAGAUUAGGCCAAAAAGACUCAUUUAUGAAUAGUAAUGUGGGGUCACAAUGUGAAAUACUGUGUUUGAGGAUAUUUAAGCUUUUCAUGAGGUAGCUGGAAACCAGCUGUCUGUGUGUCUUAUGAAACCUCAAAUCAAAAUCUGGCCCCAUUUCAUGAUUCUGCUUUGCUCAGUUUUAGGUGAGAUUGUUCUUAUGCCUUUUUCACAUUUUAUGUCUUUUAGGUUUAUAAUUUUCCCACUCCUUUUGCAUCAGGAAAUUAUUUUGCACGUCUUACUGAGAUGCUAUGUUCAUUGCUUGAGUGCUUUUCUAAUCUGCAGUCUACUUACACUUCCUGUCUGCAGCAUGCCAUGUGUCAGUAGAGUGUCCUAGAUUAAUUUGUCAGGGGCUUUUCCUAUUUCCAAAUUUGCUGAAUUGUGUAUUGUUGGGAUUCUAGACCAUUUCAUGGAAUUGGAAAUAUAGCCAAUAGAGCCUACCUAAGUUGCCAUGUAAUAACUAACUUUGCUUGGUUAUAGUAAGCCUCCUCAGACAGCUUUCACUUUUCUACUUUCCUUGUAGAUAUAAAAGUUAUUUUUAUUCUGAAAGCAUAAGAUAGCGUCAUGUAGAAAAGAAAUUCCUACCUCUAAAAGCUGCCUUGAGAACUUGUAAAUGGCAGUUUUCUGAGGUGAUUUUUAAAUCUCUUAGGGGAGUCCAGGAUUUAUUCACAGGUUCUAUAGUUAGCAUGAUAGGAAAUGCAAAACUAGUUUAAUGUGGGUCUGAUGUAGAAGCAAGCUUAGACAGAUAGACUCUUCUGCAGCAGAUCUCCAGGGACCCAGAUUUAGCAAAACUAGUUUAAUGUGUGUCUGAUGUAGAAGCAAGCUUAGACAGAUAGACUCUUCUGCAGCAGAUCUCCAGGGACCCAGAUUUAGAUGCUCAUAGUGUACUUUAGGUAGUUGUACUCUUGGCUCAAGUAGUUUAGUGCCUGCGAGAAUCCAUUUCUGAAAAGUAUUUAAAUACUUUUUUAAUACCUCUGAAAAGGUAAUGAAUACAAAAUAGCACAGUAUAUAGGAAAGGAUAUUUCCUAUUGAAAAAAAAAGCCAUAAAAAACUAAUAAUUUCAAGAGGUAGAAUUUUAGCAAUAACAAUUUUAGCAUGUAUAGUAAGCUGGAUUAGCAAGGUUGUACAGUAGAAUAAGUAUUACUAGCGUUUGUGAGGCUCUAUGGUCAAGAGUUGUACAAAAGGAAAAAGAUGCUAGGUAAAGAGCAUAUAAAAGGUACUUUUAAAAACUAUGAGUGUAUGAAUAUGUCAGUGAGAAAUAGCAACUUUUAUGUAAAUUAAAGGUUAAAGAUCCUAUUUGCUUUCUAGAACAGAGGGUUAGAGCCAUUGAAUGAACUAUUUCUACUGCUUAACCUGGACACAAAUGUUUCUUCUCUUAUUGAUGAAGAAACCCCACUGAAGCCAUCAUGUGGGGAUCUUGCUUAUGAUGUUUUUUUAGCAUCAUACUAAUAGCAUACUUUUUGCUUUGUCACCUUAUCUUUCUCCAUUAGUUUCCUGGGUGCAUUUUUAAAAAGGAAAAGUUUGUUGUGUAUAUGUAUUUAGGGUUAACAAGAACUUGGAUAGCUGGUAACCUCAUGCCUAUGGUUAGUUUAGGGCUAUGAUGGCGAACCUAUGACACGCGUGUCAGAGGUGACAUGCGAACUCAUUUUUUUGGUUGAUUUUUCUUUGUUAAAUGGCAUUUAAAUAUAUAAAAAAAAUAUCAAAAAUAUAAAUAUUUGUUUUACUAUGGUUGCAAAUAUCAAAAAAUUUCUAUAUGUGACACGGCACCAGAGUUAAAUUAGGGUUUUUCAAAAUGCUGACACGUCGAGCUCAAAAGGUUCGCCAUCACUGGUUUAGGGAGUUAAGAUUUAAAGGUAUAAAACAAAAGGAUUAAAGGAAAUAGCCAGAGACAGUAUGUUGGGUUUGUUUGUUUUUAAACCUUGUCUAAAGUAGAUGUGCUAGGCCAAUAGCCUGUGACUACUUACUUUAACAAGAACCCAGCAAACUAGUUUCUUGAUGAGGAAUCAUGCAGCUCACAUCAGGAUAUAAGAGUAGAAUGAAGGUGACUUCUUACUCCCUUUUACCUCAUUGUCAUCUUGGCCAUUUAGCACUUUGAAGAUCCCUGAAAAGAUGUGGUCUAUGUUCCCUUGUUUUCCAAGGGGAAAAACAACUAAAAUAUAAGUGGAGAAGAUCAACAAAUACAGUGCCUCUUGAAUAUUUAAUUCUUACAUGGCAACUCCAAAGGAUAGGGAGGCUAUAUUAAAUUGAUUAUAGCUUCUUUUUAAAUGUCCUAAACCAUCAGUUGGUGUUAAAGACAUUGGAAUAACCAAGCAAUAUUCAGACAUCUGCAUGAUCAUGAGACACCAGGUGUAUUACUGUGAUGUCAACAAUUUAGUUACUUAGAACAAUUAAAGAUUACCCUUAACAGCCAAGUUAAUAGUUCCAAAUGCUAAAAUAUGCUACAAAUUUUUGUAGUUUCAAAGUAUGCAGUUAAUUAGUUUUCAGUGUUGUGGUCUCAUGUUUACUUUAGUGUAUCUGUGAUAUGCAAAAUAUGAAGAGACCCUUGGCCUCCAGGAGUUUACAUUAUCAUGGUGCUGCUGGUGCGAGCAAAUUAUUUCUAGUUUAUUCAGAACAUUGCUUGGCUAUUUAGUCGUACCAUAUUUGGAAGGAUCCCUUCAUCAACAGUUUUUAGAAGCAGAGGGCUAUGCUAAAUUUCAGGGCAUUGGUUUUGAGUUUACAUUAUAUUAGCUCUGCUAUUUUUAAACUCCUUUUCCCCUGGGAGCUGUGCAGGUUAUGCUCUUAAUGUGAAUCAGAAAAAAAAAAGAAACUAUUCUAAGAGCAUCUUCACCAUCCCUAAACCACCAUGCUCCUCUAUUCUAUAGCAGUCAAUAAAUGGCCAAGAAAACUCCAGAAGACUGUACAUCUCUCAAUUCUCUUUCUUUUCCCAGAAGCGUUGCAUCAUUUUCUACCCAGUAGGACCAGGAUUUGCAAUUAAGCCUUUAUAACUGAAUAGUAGUCCUAAUUUUAACUUUUGUGCGUGACUCUUGUACCUGGAUUCUGAAGUAGCAUUGUGAUAGAUGUGGAGCAUCUGCCUGCAUUUCUAAGCAAUCACUUUAUUAAUAGCCAUUUUUGGUUGAAAUUUUGCAUGUAUCUUUGUUAUUCUAAUUCUUAUAAAUCAAGGUUUACUCUGCAUGUUUAUUAAAACUGAGUCUGGAUGAAAGUGCAAGCAAUAGUGGCAGACCCAUAACUCUGAUUUUAGAGUACUAAUAUUUUAAUGCAUGAUUGAAAAUGUCUAGUAUUAAGUGGUUAAUAGUAAUUAUAUAUGCAUUUAUUAAUGAAGCAAUAGAGACUUAAACCAAUAGCUUGAAUUUAUUGUUUGGAUUACUAGUUUACAUUUUCUAACUAAAGAUGAUCUUACUUCCAUUAAAAAUGGAAGCUACAAGAUAAACAGGGGCAACCAUAAGACAUUCAAACUGUCAGGAAUUGAGCAUAACAGUGCUCAUCACCCUCUAACCUCUUGCCUGAUUCCAUUAGUCCCCAAGCAUGUUUAAAAACAAUACAAAAGGCACAAACUAAGCAUGUGGAAUAAAUAAAUAAGCUGCUAUAGUUAUAAUCAGAAAAGGUGCAGAGUUUCAUAAAGGAUAGGGGAUAGUGUGGAGUUAAAAACAAGUAGAUACAGGGUUUGUCUGGUAAAGUUAUGUGGCUUAAAUUUGCGUCUCAUUACUAGUAUCUUGGCAGUGAAUGGAGGCAUUUGCACACAUUUUAUAUGUUUCAGGAUUUUCAGAUAAGUAGGCAACUCUUCUGGGUUGUACCGAUAUUGACUGGCCAUAAAGGAUGCCAGCAAAAAAGAAACUUUCAUUUUGUGGAAAUAGUCCUGAAAAUAUUAACAUAUCUGUGGUUUGGCUUCUCUUUUGUUACUGAAUUACAUUAACAUUAUUUUGUUAAUAUUUUUUUAAUAGCCAGAGUUUUAUUCUUGAUGUUUUGACCAGGCUGCAUAAUCUGCCUAAAGUUUUUGAUGCCAAGUAAACAGGAGCAAGUUUUUACUUUUCUGUUUAUUAUAGUAGCUUAAAAUUUUUAGACAAUUCCUAACUUUGGAAUAAUCCUUUUAAGUCCAAGUGAUUAUGAUGAAUAAUGUAAAUGGGAGUAAUUAUAUCUAAAAGAGGCCUAAACAGGAUUAGACUAGAUAGACACUUUGCUAUGGGAUUUCCCUCCAGCUACCUUUGGAAAUGUGUAAAUGUAAUGGUAACUUUUCAGUAGUUUACAAUGGAAUUAGAGUAUGGGCAUCACAGUGUCUGGUUUCCACUCAAAUAUAGGAAGUGAGAUGUCAUAUCUUAUAUGUAAAGUUUCUCUUUGCCACAUAUUAAUAACAUGCCUAUCAACCAAUGAAGAUUUAAGGACAGUUGCUCUAAACUCUGUUCCCAUUAUUCCACUAAGGCAUAUUAAAGGUUAUUAGAAAAACAAAAAUCAUAGAUUUCUCCAGGAAUCCAUAUUCCUAAGCCUCCCUUUUAAGUCAAAAUAGGUAUUUUAGGGUUACUAACAAUUUCCAAAAGAUUUUGUCUCUUGUGAUGGUCAGCCAUGCCAUCAAUUCAAAUAUAUUUUUCUCCCAGGGACAAAAGAUAUUCUGGCAAUACAUUAUCAUCAGUCCUUAAACAAUAACAAUCAUCUUGGCGUUUACCUUAAAAUCACCCAUCACUAAGAAUCACAUUAGAGUAUCCUUUACAUACGGUUUUAUGUGCUACCUGUCCUUUUAAGUACAGUUGUUGCUCAUUGUUUUUACUUGCUAUUCUGCAUCUUCUCCACUGCACCAGUGAUAUAGGCGAUAAUGUUAAAAGAAUUUCAUUGAAUGUUUAAAGUAUUACAAAAGCAGCUUGCUUUUUAAUCUAUGCAUCUUUGGGAUUUUAGAAAAGAUUUUAUUGUUUUCUAAAGAUUUUAUGUAAAAAGGAACUGCUUUAAGAAUUGGAAACUCUGCACCUGUGUAUAUAUAUAUAUUUUUUGGCAAUAAAGCAGCAUGGGCUGAGAAUGCACUGAAA